AAAUUGAAGAGUUUGAUCAUGGCUCAGAUUGAACGCUGGCGGCAGGCCUAACACAUGCAAGUCGAACGGUAACAGGAAGCAGCUUGCUGCUUUGCUGACGAGUGGCGGACGGGUGAGUAAUGUCUGGGAAACUGCCUGAUGGAGGGGGAUAACUACUGGAAACGGUGGCUAAUACCGCAUAACGUCGCAAGACCAAAGAGGGGGACCUUCGGGCCUCUUGCCAUCAGAUGUGCCCAGAUGGGAUUAGCUUGUUGGUGAGGUAACGGCUCACCAAGGCGACGAUCCCUAGCUGGUCUGAGAGGAUGACCAGCCACACUGGAACUGAGACACGGUCCAGACUCCUACGGGAGGCAGCAGUGGGGAAUAUUGCACAAUGGGCGCAAGCCUGAUGCAGCCAUGCCGCGUGUAUGAAGAAGGCCUUCGGGUUGUAAAGUACUUUCAGCGGGGAGGAAGGUGUUGUGGUUAAUAACCGCAGCAAUUGACGUUACCCGCAGAAGAAGCACCGGCUAACUCCGUGCCAGCAGCCGCGGUAAUACGGAGGGUGCAAGCGUUAAUCGGAAUUACUGGGCGUAAAGCGCACGCAGGCGGUCUGUCAAGUCGGAUGUGAAAUCCCCGGGCUCAACCUGGGAACUGCAUUCGAAACUGGCAGGCUUGAGUCUUGUAGAGGGGGGUAGAAUUCCAGGUGUAGCGGUGAAAUGCGUAGAGAUCUGGAGGAAUACCGGUGGCGAAGGCGGCCCCCUGGACAAAGACUGACGCUCAGGUGCGAAAGCGUGGGGAGCAAACAGGAUUAGAUACCCUGGUAGUCCACGCCGUAAACGAUGUCUACUUGGAGGUUGUGCCCUUGAGGCGUGGCUUCCGGAGCUAACGCGUUAAGUAGACCGCCUGGGGAGUACGGCCGCAAGGUUAAAACUCAAAUGAAUUGACGGGGGCCCGCACAAGCGGUGGAGCAUGUGGUUUAAUUCGAUGCAACGCGAAGAACCUUACCUGGUCUUGACAUCCACGGAACUUUCCAGAGAUGGAUUGGUGCCUUCGGGAACCGUGAGACAGGUGCUGCAUGGCUGUCGUCAGCUCGUGUUGUGAAAUGUUGGGUUAAGUCCCGCAACGAGCGCAACCCUUAUCCUUUGUUGCCAGCGGUCCGGCCGGGAACUCAAAGGAGACUGCCAGUGAUAAACUGGAGGAAGGUGGGGAUGACGUCAAGUCAUCAUGGCCCUUACGACCAGGGCUACACACGUGCUACAAUGGCGCAUACAAAGAGAAGCGACCUCGCGAGAGCAAGCGGACCUCAUAAAGUGCGUCGUAGUCCGGAUUGGAGUCUGCAACUCGACUCCAUGAAGUCGGAAUCGCUAGUAAUCGUGGAUCAGAAUGCCACGGUGAAUACGUUCCCGGGCCUUGUACACACCGCCCGUCACACCAUGGGAGUGGGUUGCAAAAGAAGUAGGUAGCUUAACCUUCGGGAGGGCGCUUACCACUUUGUGAUUCAUGACUGGGGUGAAGUCGUAACAAGGUAACCGUAGGGGAACCUGCGGUUGGAUCACCUCCUUACCUUAAAGAA
rnacentral:rRNA from 3 species